rnacentral:sRNA from 1 species
GCUGGGCAUGGUGGAGCAUGCCUGUAAUCCCAGUAGCUCCAGAGGCGGAGGCAGGAGGAUCGCAAGUUCAAAGCCAGCCUCAGCAAAAGCAAGGUGCUAAGCAACUCAGUGAGACCCUGUCUCUA